GUCAUGCAGCGUGAGAGCGAGUGGGUGUGUGCGCUGCUCUGCUGGUUAGAGUCAUUCUGGCAGGACCUGUGCUGCAGAUGGAUGUGUGUGCGUAGAAGACGGGACUGUGCCAUACCGCCGACAGGAUUGGUCACCACGUUGACGGAUCGGCGCCGGAUUGGCUCGCUCUGCUUGGAGGUCAGAUGUAAAAGCGGAAGAUGACGUCGUUUCCGGGGGUCAGAGAGAGGGAGGACCAGAUGGGCGAGUCAUCCUGCGCAGUCCCAACCGGCACACAGCAGCACAGUCCAUCCUGUCAUUUGUUAUUUGUAGGAGAGAGACCGAGCUGCUACUUUUUGUUUCAUUUUUUCACCCUUGUGUUCAGGAAAUUUAGCGUGGCUUUGUUUAGUGAUUUUUGGCUCAAGCUCAUCCCUACUUUUAGUUUGUUUAAUACAACCUUUGUUUAUAUUUGUUUAUUGGAAAUAAAUUGUUACUUUUGUUGGACAAAGCUGUGGUGUGUGCUGCUUCAACAGGAUGACAGUUUCAUGCUGCGUUCAGUGACCCGAGGCUGGGUGUAACAGUGAUUUUGAUACAAUAAUGUGGAUUUAAGCGUCGAUCUGUUUUUCUGAUGGAACUGCACUUUGUAUAUUUUAUGUCAUUUAUUUAGUUUUGUUAUUUAACAAUUUCUGGCUCUCGUAAAUGGUUUAAUAUUUAUAUUUUUUAAAAAGAUAAUACAUCUUUAGAACCUGCCAGCAAAUUUUCAACCUCAGUAUUCUCUCCAUUCAAAGAGAUCAUCUUUUUUCACAAUGUUUGCUCGGAUUAGAUCCAGAGCAGCACUGGCUCACCUGUUGUUCCUUCCUGCUGUUUUCUUGCUGACAGGAGGACUUGAGGAUCGGAUCUGUCUUUUCUGUAACUUCAGGUACCGAUACUCAGACGCUGCCCGUCACCAACCCGUCGUCUCUGCACAUGUCCUGUUCACACUGCAAGAAGAACCUGAUUAAAGGCCAGAUGGCGUUCCAGAGGAAAGGUUCUCCUGCGUUCUUCUGCUCCACCAACUGCCUCACCACAUCGCUUCCCACCAUCAAAGGACCCACAACGAUCUGCCACAACUGCCAAAAGACAUCAUUCUGGCUCCGGAUGCUAAAAGAGCCAUGAAGGAUUUUUGCAGCCAGAACUGUCUGACCUCCUUCAACCAGAAGAGAAGCGCCUGCAACUACAGAAAGUCGAACAUCUCCAUAAAAACCCCGCAGCCAAUCGUACCACAAUCACUCUGCAGCAUGUGCACCAGAUACUGCAUCAUCAUCUGUGAUGCUGCAUACAUCAUUUCUAAUGUGGAGGCCACGUGGUCUGGGUCUGUUCAUGACUCCAGGAUUUAUGGAGAGUCUAACCUGAGCAACAGACUGCAGCAUGGAGAGUUUGAUGGCCUUCUGCUGGGUGACAGGGGUUACCAUGCCAACCCAGGCUGAUGACCUCAUACCCUGACCCUGAACCAGGCCCCCAACAGAACUUCAACCGGACUCACUGCAGGACCAGAGCCCGGGUGGAGAUGACCAUAGGCCUGCUGAAAGCCCGUUUCCAGAGUCUACGUCUCCUCAGGGUGACCCCUGAGAGGGCCUGUGAUAUUACUGUGGCAUGUGUUGUUCUUCAUAAUAUUACCACUAUUAGAGGAGAGCAACACCCUGCCCUACAAACUGAAGACCCAGAUGAUGAGCCCAUCCACCUGCAGCUAUCCAGGACAGCAGAGCAGUCAGAGACACCGUAUGCAAUAAUCACUUUAGAGUUUAAGUCUCCAUCAUCACCACCACAGCAAAUAAAGACAUGAUACACAUUUCA